GUCUCUAGGCCGUAUCAGCCUGAAGGCGCCCGAUCUCGUCUGAUCUCGGAAGCUAAGCAGGGUCGGGCCUGGUUAGUAUCUUGGAUGGGAGACCACCUGGGAAUCCCGGGUGCUCGAGGCU
rnacentral:rRNA from 1 species